UACAAGGUACGAGCUGGCUAUUUGGGAUGUGUUAUCAAAUAUCCAAGCUUGGGUACACGGGCCCAGUCCCAACCCCUUGGGCGGAUGAUGAUGCAUGGCAAAGCAGGAAGGG
rfam:Anopheles gambiae str. PEST whole genome shotgun sequencing project, whole genome shotgun sequence.